rnacentral:tRNA from 1 species
GGGACGGUAGCUCAGUUGGGAGAGCACCUGCUUUGCACGCAGGGGGUCAGGGGUUCAAGUCCCCUCCGUUCCACCA